rnacentral:rRNA from 1 species
GACGAACGCUGGCGGCGUGCUUAACACAUGCAAGUCGAACGGAAAGGCCCUGCUUUUGUGGGGUGCUCGAGUGGCGAAAGGGUGAGUAACACGUGAGUAACCUGCCCUUGACUUUGGGAUAACUUCAGGAAACUGUGGCUAAUACCGGAUAGGAGCUCCUGCUGCAUGGUGGGGGUUGGAAAGUUUCGGCGGUUGGGGAUGGACUCGCGGCUUAUCAGCUUGUUGGUGGGGUAGUGGCUUACCAAGGCUUUGACGGGUAGCCGGCCUGAGAGGGUGACCGGCCACAUUGGGACUGAGAUACGGCCCAGACUCCUACGGGAGGCAGCAGUGGGGAAUAUUGCACAAUGGGCGGAAGCCUGAUGCAGCAACGCCGCGUGCGGGAUGACGGCCUUCGGGUUGUAAACCGCUUUCGCCUGUGACGAAGCGUGAGUGACGGUAAUGGGUAAAGAAGCACCGGCUAACUACGUG